CGGAACUACAGGCUGGCGAAGGCUCCGCCCACUCGCCGAAUCAUCCGUUAAUUGACAGCUGAGAGCCGCUCGAUGAUUGGCUGCGUCCUUGCAGCGGUGUUUCUACAGCCAGGCGGUCAGUCAAACCCCACCACUCCCUCCAUCUGCACCUGGAUUACCUACUGGGAGAGCACCGAGCGCCCUUUACAUCCAGCAUCAUCAAAAGAAAGGCUAAUUUCUCACAGAUUUGCAUUUGAAUAUCCUUUUGAACCAGUUCAUAUUGUAAUAGUACGUCGGUAACAAAAAACAUGAACAAGCAGUUAAUACCCAUCACGUCGGUAUCAUUCAUUCCUAUAUGCCUGGGACCGAACCGACCAGAUGGUUAAUGCCUUACAACCCGUUUCCCUACAUGUGAAGUUCUGCUUUCAUGUGAAAUCUGCUGGGCGUUGACAAGACGUCAAGCUGGUCCACCUGGUUUCAACACGAGCCUUCAGCUGCAUGUGCAUUUCUACUAUUGAAACCGAAGACGUAAACAUAAAUAGCAACUAAACAGGAAUGCAGUAAACAUUCAAGCUGCAAUAAGCAGACAAGA